rnacentral:lncRNA from 1 species
UGUAAAUAACACGAUCUUGGGGUUCAUGGUGUGUUCAGAUAUCCCGCAACAGCAAGUCAUUCAGACGAUCAGUGCUGCUCUCUUAGCAGGGGACACUCCUCAAGCAGGACUGGAUUAAUCCAUGGGAGCGAGCAGCUGAGCCGUGAGAAGCCAGAAAGCCUGAUGUGGUCCACCCCUUUCCCUGGAAUCACUCCUUUCCAUGUGGGCUGAAUGCCCACGUGCAGCUGUCUGAUCUCAGGAUUUCUAUCAUCCAGAGUAUUCUCUGGAAGCUCCAGCGGGGUUGGCCCAGCUCCUGGCUUCCUCUCCUGGCAACAGCCUCAGGUCUUUUUGAUGAAUUGAAUGAGAAGUGGAGCCCUCAGGUCCAGUCCUGAUCCUGCAGGUGCUUGCUCAUGAAGCUUACACAGAACUCAUGUGACCACGAAGCCAAGGUGGCCGAGAGAAGGCAGCUUCCUGGAAUCUCAGCCUUCCACCAGGCCAGGAGCCAGUCUGCUGCUUCUGUCUGCCUGUACCAAGCAUCUCCCUCAGAGGGAGGAGCCAUGGCCCCAGAAGAUGCUAAGCACUAAAGGAGGCCAUAUGCUUCUACCUUACCAGGUUUUCCGAUGCCCGUGGAGGUCAGAAGAGGGUACCGGACCAAUGGAAUUCAGGUGGCUGUGGUGAGCGCUGUGGGUUGUGAGAACUGAACCUGGGUCCUCUGUAAGAAGGACAAGAGCUCAUGACUGCUUAUCUUCUCUCUGGCCCCUCAUUUUACCUUCACGGGGUCUUGCGUGGCCCAGCCUCACCUCUGAGCUGCUGCUCAGAGAAGGUGGUGGAGAGACUUCAAAGAAUGAAACAAGAUGGCGUGACCCCGGGCCCUUUGAAACUGAGCCAGACCUGGAAUCCAGCCCCUGCCUGCUUUCUUCUGCACUGAAGAAUAAGGACCUUCUAAGCCUUGUGUAUCCGCUCUUCCUUAGCCUGGGAUCGGGGGUUCAAGACCAUUCUCGCCCACUACACAGCAUGUGUGGAGCUGGGCUGGUCACGUGAGAACCCUGCCUUAAUUAAUUAAUUAAUUAAUUAAUGAGUUU